GCUUGGGUAGCUCAGUUGGUUGAGUGUCUGACUUCAGCUCAGGUCAUGAUCUCACAGUUUGUGGAUUCAAGCCCCACAUCGGGCU
rnacentral:tRNA from 1 species